GUGUUUCCAAGGAAGCCCUGCAACAACCAGGCUCCUCAACUAAGGCGUUCUGUUUGCUCAGCAUCUGGGAGACGCUGCCUCAAGAUUGAUGAAGUUUUGAGUUGCUGGUUGGUAGGAGCCUAUUUUUAAAAACCAUCAGAGUCUGACUCAAACACAAGAAUGUUCGAGACUUCUUCCAGGUGUUGGAGGCUGAACCCAAGACCACAUGCUUGCUAAGCAAACACAUAACCACUGGCCACAUCCCCCGCCCAGAAGUGAGAAACCUCUUGGCAUUAAAUUCUAAGAGAAACUGAAUGA